rnacentral:rRNA from 1 species
UACGAAGGGGGCUAGCGUUGCUCGGAAUCACUGGGCGUAAAGCGCACGUAGGCGGAUUGUUAAGUCAGGGGUGAAAUCCUGGAGCUCAACUCCAGAACUGCCUUUGAUACUGGCGAUCUCGAGUCCGGGAGAGGUGAGUGGAACUGCGAGUGUAGAGGUGAAAUUCGUAGAUAUUCGCAAGAACACCAGUGGCGAAGGCGGCUCACUGGCCCGGUACUGACGCUGAGGUGUGAAAGCGUGGGGAGCAAACAGG